rnacentral:rRNA from 1 species
UGGGGAAUAUUGCGCAAUGGGCGAAAGCCUGACGCAGCAACGCCGCGUGAGUGAUGAAGGCCUUCGGGUCGUAAAGCUCUGUCGGAGGGAACGAAUGCUCUUGAGGUUAACAGCCUCGGGAGGUGACGGUACCCUCAAAGGAAGCACCGGCUAACUCUGUGCCAGCAGCCGCGGUAAUACAGAGGGUGCAAGCGUUGUUCGGAAUCAUUGGGCGUAAAGGGCGUGUAGGCGGUAUGUUAAGUCAUGUGUGAAAAUCCCUCGGCUCAACCGGGGAACGACGCAUGAAACUAGCAAGCUAGAGUACCAAAGAGGGUGGUGGAAUUCCCGGUGUAGCGGUGAAAAUGCGUAGAUAUCGGGAGGAACACCUGUGGCGAAGGCGGCCACCUGGUUGGAUACUGACGCUGAGACGCGAAAAGCGUGGGGAGCAAACAGGAUUAGAUACCCAAGUAGUCCCUGAGCGGGCUGG